rnacentral:rRNA from 1 species
UAGCGUAGGGGGCUAGCGUUGUCCGGAUUUAUUGGGCGUAAAGGAGCGUGUAGGCGGCCAGGUAGGUCUGCUGUGAAAACUCGAGGCUCAACCUCGAGACGUCGGCGGAAACCAUCUGGCUAGAGUCCGGAAGAGGAGAGUGGAAUUCCUGGUGUAGCGGUGAAAUGCGCAGAUAUCAGGAAGAACACCCGUGGCGAAGGCGGCGUCUCUGGGACGGUACUGACGCUGAGACGCGAA